UACGUAGGGGGCAAGCGUUGUCCGGAUUUAUUGGGCGUAAAGAGCGUGUAGGCGGCCUGACAGGUCUGCUGUGAAAACUCGAGGCUCAACCUCGAGAUGUCGGCGGAAACCGUCUGGCUAGAGUCCGGAAGAGGAGAGUGGAAUUCCUGGUGUAGCGGUGAAAUGCGUAGAUAUCUGGAGGAACACCGGUGGCGAAGGCGGCAUCCUGGACCGGCAUUGACGCUGAGGAGCGAAAGCCAGGGGAGCAAACGGG
rnacentral:rRNA from 1 species